GCCUGGAUGGCUGAGUAGGUUAAGCGUCCAACUUCGGCUCAGGUCAUGAUCUUGUAGUUUGUGGGUUCAAGCCCCACGUUGGGCU
rnacentral:tRNA from 1 species